rnacentral:rRNA from 1 species
GUAAUUCAAAACUUGUUCCCUCCGAGACGAUCCCGAGUAGUGCGGGGCACGUGAAACCCCGUAUGAAUCCGGCAGGACCAUCUGCCAAGGCUAAAUACUCCCUGGCGACCGAUAGUGAAGCAGUACCGUGAGGGAAAGGUGAAAAGCACCCCGGAAGGGGAGUGAAAUAGAUCCUGAAACCGUGUGCUUACAAGAAGUCAGAGCCC